AACGCAAACACCCAAAACAUUUUAUUUUAUAUUUUAUCUUCUCUUGAGCUUCUGAAUUCAUUUGCUAUAGCCAAUAAUUUUCCUACGCAUAAAAUGAAAAUCGGUGCUUUGUUGGUCAUUUUAUUUAUAAUAUGUUUGAUACAGUGUUCAGACGGAAGAAGAAGACCGGGCAAAGCUUUGGCAGUAAAAACUGGCGGACCUCCUCCUCUUCCACCUCGUACACCCAACCUCUCUCCUCCACCUCGUCCACCUAAAAACACUCGUCCACCCAAAUUCGCUCACCCAAGAUAUUUCUGGAAGAUGAUGAAAUAAAAGAAAAAAGUUCCGAAGUUCAGUUUACUACUGACGAUAACAAUGAAUCAGAAGAACAAUCAAAUGAUGAAGAACUUGAAAGAGCAAAAAGAAAUUUUGACAUUUGUAAGAUAAUUAUUCAAUUUUCAAUUUGAAUUAUUAUAAAUUAAUGUUUGUAUUCAAAGUAAAUAAAACAU